rnacentral:rRNA from 1 species
AGAGUUUGAUCAUGGCUCAGAACGAACGCUGGCGGCAUGCCUAACACAUGCAAGUCGAACGAAGCCUUCGGGCUUAGUGGCGCACGGGUGCGUAACGCGUGGGAAUCUACCCUUGGGUUCGGAAUAACAGUUAGAAAUGACUGCUAAUACCGGAUGAUGACGUAAGUCCAAAGAUUUAUCGCCCAAGGACGAGCCCGCGUAGGAUUAGCUAGUUGGUGAGGUAAAGGCUCACCAAGGCGACGAUCCUUAGCUGGUCUGAGAGGAUGAUCAGCCACACUGGGACUGAGACACGGCCCAGACUCCUACGGGAGGCAGCAGUGGGGAAUAUUGGACAAUGGGCGAAAGCCUGAUCCAGCAAUGCCGCGUGAGUGAUGAAGGCCCUAGGGUUGUAAAGCUCUUUUACCCGGGAUGAUAAUGACAGUACCGGGAGAAUAAGCUCCGGCUAACUCCGUGCCAGCAGCCGCGGUAAUACGGAGGGAGCUAGCGUUGUUCGGAAUUACUGGGCGUAAAGCGUACGUAGGCGGCUUUGUAAGUUAGAGGUGAAAGCCCGGAGCUCAACUCCGGAAUUGCCUUUAAGACUGCAUCGCUUGAAUCCGGGAGAGGUGAGUGGAAUUCCGAGUGUAGAGGUGAAAUUCGUAGAUAUUCGGAAGAACACCAGUGGCGAAGGCGGCUCACUGGACCGGCAUUGACGCUGAGGUACGAAAGCGUGGGGAGCAAACAGGAUUAGAUACCCUAGUAGUCC